rnacentral:rRNA from 1 species
GAUGAACGCUGGCGGCGUGCCUAAUACAUGCAAGUCGAGCGAACGGACGAGAAGCUUGCUUCUCUGAUGUUAGCGGCGGACGGGUGAGUAACACGUGGAUAACCUACCUAUAAGACUGGGAUAACUUCGGGAAACCGGAGCUAAUACCGGAUAAUAUUUUGAACCGCAUGGUUCAAAAGUGAAAGACGGUCUUGCUGUCACUUAUAGAUGGAUCCGCGCUGCAUUAGCUAGUUGGUAAGGUAACGGCUUACCAAGGCAACGAUGCAUAGCCGACCUGAGAGGGUGAUCGGCCACACUGGAACUGAGACACGGUCCAGACUCCUACGGGAGGCAGCAGUAGGGAAUCUUCCGCAAUGGGCGAAAGCCUGACGGAGCAACGCCGCGUGAGUGAUGAAGGUCUUCGGAUCGUAAAACUCUGUUAUUAGGGAAGAACAUAUGUGUAAGUAACUGUGCACAUCUUGACGGUACCUAAUCAGAAAGCCACGGCUAACUACGUGCCAGCAGCCGCGGUAGUACGUAGGUGGCAAGCGUUAUCCGGAAUUAUUGGGCGUAAAGCGCGCGUAGGCGGUUUUUUAAGUCUGAUGUGAAAGCCCACGGCUCAACCGUGGAGGGUCAUUGGAAACUGGAAAACUUGAGUGCAGAAGAGGAAAGUGGAAUUCCAUGUGUAGCGGUGAAAUGCGCAGAGAUAUGGAGGAACACCAGUGGCGAAGGCGACUUUCUGGUCUGUAACUGACGCUGAUGUGCGAAAGCGUGGGGACCAAACAGGAUUAGAUACCCUGGUAGUCCACGCCGUAAACGAUGAGUGCUAAGUGUUAGGGGGUUUCCGCCCCUUAGUGCUGCAGCUAACGCAUUAAGCACUCCGCCUGGGGAGUACGACCGCAAGGUUGAAACUCAAAGGAAUUGACGGGGACCCGCACAAGCGGUGGAGCAUGUGGUUUAAUUCGAAGCAACGCGAAGAACCUUACCAAAUCUUGACAUCCUUUGACAACUCUAGAGAUAGAGCCUUCCCCUUCGGGGGACAAAGUGACAGGUGGUGCAUGGUUGUCGUCAGCUCGUGUCGUGAGAUGUUGGGUUAAGUCCCGCAACGAGCGCAACCCUUAAGCUUAGUUGCCAUCAUUAAGUUGGGCACUCUAAGUUGACUGCCGGUGACAAACCGGAGGAAGGUGGGGAUGACGUCAAAUCAUCAUGCCCCUUAUGAUUUGGGCUACACACGUGCUACAAUGGACAAUACAAAGGGCAGCGAAACCGCGAGGUCAAGCAAAUCCCAUAAAGUUGUUCUCAGUUCGGAUUGUAGUCUGCAACUCGACUACAUGAAGCUGGAAUCGCUAGUAAUCGUAGAUCAGCAUGCUACGGUGAAUACGUUCCCGGGUCU